AACCUGCAUACCCUCUAUGUUCAUGAACCAGUAGUACUCCAUGAUCCUCUAACCACUUCAAGUCGAGGCGAGGCUGAGAACACAGUCGCUCCGCAAGUGAUCCGCAUUGUUCACCCGAACGUAGAAGGAUGAACAAGUCAUCCGAGAUAGUGGCUAAUGCAGCAUAUAUAUUCAUCCACUAUUAGAAGGAUUAGGCCUAUUAGAAACAAGAGGCUGAAGAUUAUUGAAGGCCCUGUCAUUUUCGGCGAGCAAAUUUCUAUAAAAAGAGAGCUAACCAUGGCUUCCUGUUGGACCUAAAAUUGCAAGAAUUAAGCGGUCAUACAAGAAUUUUUUGUGAAUGACUUCCUCCAACUUUGAAGAUCUUCUAAAAAUAGUAGCACUGGCCACUCCAUGUUUUUGGAGAUUGCACAACGUGAUGUUAGGUUACAAGAGCAGUACACACAAUAUAAUGUUCCUCACUGCCGUGAGUAGCAUGGGCAGAUUGUGCACGAACCUACUGCGCUUCCCUUUGAGUUCACCCAUAAACAGACAGCCAUUGGAACGCUUUCAAAUGUUCACAAACUGUUAUAGUGGGUAUGCAGUUUUUCAAAAAUAUAGAAUGUGUUCUGUGGUCUCUUUUUCCUAGCAGUAUCUGCACAGUGUUUCUUCAGUUAAUACUUCCAUCCCAUACAUGUGCCUUCUUAAGCGGCAGUGCCUUGUCGAAUCCAACCAGAAUCCUAGUUCUAUUGCAGUUAUCUUCUAGGAAUUCCUUUGUGACUCAUGUGGAUGGCCCUUCUUUGAAUCUCUUCAUAUGCUUCACAUCUGGGUGUUGUUCCAUCAAAUUUUAGUGUCAUUAAAGAUCCAUUUUUGGAUGUGUUCAUUUUUUGUGGCUAGAGGCUAGGCCACAACAGGAUUUGGAGGCAAGAGAAUUCAUAUUGGUACCUUUUUUGACCAUGUCCACUUUCUCGUUGCCUGUACAUCCCAAAUUCCCAUGGAACCAUGCCAGACAUUGGUGUCACUGACUUCUACCAGGGAUUCCAUACCAUUCCAUCCGCUCAAAUAAGGCUAAGGCCUGAUUGUUGAGAACAAGACUAUCUUCCUGGUUCCUAGUCUUUUUAUAUCUCUGGCGCAUUGUUCAAUUGCUAUGAUUUCAGAUUGAAAAACUGUAGUGUAUUUAUAUAAGUUUAAAAUCAGCUUCAAAUACACCCUGAGGACUUCAGCUUCCUGUUUAUGUAUAUGUUUUUAUGCCAUCAGUAUAGCAGUAGAAAGUGGCCUUUUGAGGUCUAGAGGUACUGUAGGCACCCUGCAUCCUAGAUCCAGUAGUUUGACCUUUUCCUAAUGUUUUGCCUGGUCCAUUGAACUGUUGAAAAGGACAUGGUUGACAAGAAAGCGACAACCCAUCAACCAAUGAAGGCGAAAUGUCAAUAGAUAAAAUCAGAUAAAAUUGACAGAACGUAAGAUACAGUUUGUAAUCUCUUGAGGUCUAAAGGUUGAUGAUCAUGUAGUUUGGGCCUUUCCAAAUGUUUUGGCAUGUCCAUUGGAAAGGACAUGAUUAGCCAAAAAAAAUACAUGCAACCAUCAAAGUGAGCAUGUUGAUAGUUAAAACGAGCAAAAAUUGGCAAAAACAGAACAAUAUGAGAAGGUUUGUUCUGUUUUCCCAGGACAAAAGGUUGGUGAUUCUUUAGUUUAGGAUUUUACAAAAAGGAGAAGUUGACAAGAAACUGCAUAAGACAAACACCAGAGAUGGUGAAUGGUCAAUAAAUAAAAACCACCUAAAAUUGGCAAAAUCUGUCGACAGGAGAGGUUUUGUAAUAUCUGUUUGCGGUUUACAGGGUGAUUCUCUAAUUUGGGCCUUUUGGCAUGUUCGUUGAAAGGGACAUGUUUACCCAAAAACAAAAACCAUCAAAGAAAGCAAAAUGUUAUUAGUCAACAACCAACCAUGAAAAAUUGGCAGAACAGGAUGUUAUGAAACAGUUAGUGAAAUCUUGAAGUGUGAUGUAACUAUUAAAAAUGACAUAUUGAGAUAAACAGAACAUUAAUAGUAAAAACCAUCAAAAAUUGGCUGAUCAGGAUGAUAUGAGAUGGGCUGUAAUUUCUUGAGAUCUACAGGUCCUGAUACGCCUUGGAUCCAGGAUCAUGUAGUUUGGCCCUUUCUAAAUGUUUUACAAGAUCCAUUGGCAAGAAACUUCACGGAACAACCACCAAAGAUGGUGAGUAAUUGAUACAAAAAUGCCUAAAGGAAUGAUUGACAAAAAAACCACAAAUGCCGACCAUCAAAGAGAGGAAAAUGUCAAUAGUUAAAACUAUCAAAAGUUGGCAGAAAGAAUUAUAGGAGACGUUUAUAAAAUUUUUAAGUGAGUUGAAACUAUUAAAAAUGACAGUUUACAAGAACUACACAGCCCAUCCAAGAAAGCAAAAUGCCAAAAAAUCAGAUAAAAUUAACAGAACUUGGCAAUAGGAUCUUAUAGUCUAGAGGUUUGUGAUGUUGUAAUGGUCCAUUACUAAUGUUUUGAUCUAUCUAUUGAAAUGGACAUGGUUGCCAGAAACCACACAGGACAACCAACAAAGAUGGCACAUUAUUCAUACAAAAAACAUCAAAAAGCAGGAUGAUAUAAAACGUGUUGUAAUUUCGUGAGAUCUAUUGGUCCUGCAGAUGCACUGGAUCCUGGUUGACAAGAAACCGCCUAGGACAACCAAUAAAGAUGGCAAAUGGUCAAUACAAAACUGACCUAAAAUUGGCAGAUUAUGACCUUGGAGAUUGUAGGUAGACAUCUUGAGGUCUACAGGUUCAUCUUGAAAUAGCCCAUUCCAAAUGGUUUGGUCUAUCUGUUGAAAUUGACAUGGUAGCCAGAAACUGCAUAGUACAACCACGAAAGAUGGCGAAUGGUCAAUACACGUAUAAUACAUGAAACGUUGAUAUUUAAAACCAGCAAGAAUUGACAGAACAGGAUGGUAUGAGACAGUUCGUAAUCUCUUGAGAUCUGCUGGUCCUGUAGACGCCAUGGAUCCUGGUUGACAAGAAACCACCUAUGACAACCAACAAAGAUGGCAAGUGGUUGAUAUAUAAAACCACCUAAAAUUGGCAGAUAUGAAGAUAGAGGACAAUUUGUAAUAUCUUAUUAAGAUCGACAGAUCCUGUAGAUGCCCUGGAUUCUGGUUGACAAGAAACCACAUAGGAUAACCGCGAAGGAUGGCGAAUGGUCAAUACACAUCUAAUACACGAAAUGUCAACAGUUAAAACCAACAAGAAUUGACAGAACAGGAUGGUACGAGACAGUUUGUAAUCUCUUGAGAUCUUCUGGUCCUGUAGACACCAAGGAUACUGGUUGACAAGAAACCGCCUAUGACAACCAACAAAGAUGAUCCCUGGAUCCUGGUUGACAAGAAAUCGCCUAUGACAACCAAUAAAGAUGGACCUUUAGACGCCUUGGAUCCUGGUUGACAAGAAACCGGCUAGGGCAACCAACAAAGAUGGCGAAUGGUCGAUAUAUGUAUAAUAUACAAAAUGUCGAUACUUAAAGCCAGCAAGAAUAGACAGGACAGCUGGUACGAGACAGUUCGUAAUCUCGAGAUCUGCUGGUCCUGUAGACGCCAUGUAUCCUGGUUGACAAGAAACCGGCUAGGGCAACCAACAAAGAUGGCGAAUGGUCGAUAUACGUAUAAUAUACAAAAUGUCGAUACUUAAAACCAGCAAGAAUAGACAGGACAGGAUGGUAUGAGACAGUUUGUAAUCUCUUGAGAUCUGCUGGUCCUGUAGACGCCAUGGAUCCUGGUUGACAAGAAACCGCCUAGGACAACCAACAAAGAUGGCAAAUGGUCGAUAUAUGUAUAAUAUACAAAAUGUCGAUAUUUAAAGCCAGCAAGAAUAGACAGGACAUCAUGGUAUAAGACAGUUCGUAAUCUCAAGAUCUGCUGGUCCUGUAGACGCCAUAGAUCCUGGUUGACAAGAAACCGGCUAGGGCAACGAACAAAGAUGGCGAAUGGUCGAUAUAUGUAUAAUAUACAAAAUGUCGAUACUUAAAACCAGCAAGAAAAGAAAGGACAGGAUGGUAUGAGAUAGUUUGUAAUCUCUUGAGAUCUGCUG